rnacentral:lncRNA from 1 species
UUAAAAUUUUGUCCAUAAAGUAUUAAUCCAUUAAUUAGAAGGUCAUUUGAUCAAUCGUCCAUCCCUAACAAAUUGCUGUAACAGGUGCACCAUAUCAAUCCUAUGGUUGCAGGUGUGGCGUCACCAAGUGCAAUGACUUGAGCAGCCAAAUUUAGUUAACUGUGCUUUAUUCUUGCUGCAUAUAUAGUGUACAUUUGUGACAUUUCAUUUCCUAACAUAUGUCUGAUUGUGCACUGACCAUUUACUUCAGGGAAAAGUGGAAGUUGCAGACUUACCUACACAGUGCCGACUUGAAAAGCCUGUCUGCAAGUUCAGCUACACUCUUUAAGGGUGGGUGAAGGAUGUCUUGAAGGAGUUGCUGUUGGUCUCAUGGACACGGCAGCCCAGCAGUUUUGCCAUUGCAACAUUUGCAGCAAGGGCAUCACAAACGAUGGCAACUACAUCGAGUGAACAUUCGGUGCUGCUGUGAGCUCCUUGGUAUGGCUGUGUGCAGCACUGUAACACUUGGUGGAAGCACUUGAAGUGGUAGCGAAAAAUAUUAACAAUUAUCCUUGUCUGCAUCACUAUUCGUGCAAAGCCUCCCUCAUCUAUGUGGCACGUACCAUAGCUUUAAAUUGAAUUCUUCCUUUAUUGUUUCACAAGGUGUCUGAUAUGUACAGAUGUGAUCUAUAUUUUUAUUCACCCUAGUGUGGAGAGAGCAUCAUUAAAUUGUUCCUUUUUA